AGCGAACGCUGGCGGCAGGCUUAACACAUGCAAGUCGAGCGGGCAUCUUCGGAUGUCAGCGGCAGACGGGUGAGUAACACGUGGGAACGUACCCUUCGGUUCGGAACAACUCUGGGAAACUGGAGCUAAUACCGGAUACGCCCUUAUGGGGAAAGGUUUACUGCCGAAGGAUCGGCCCGCGUCUGAUUAGCUAGUUGGUGGGGUAACGGCCUACCAAGGCGACGAUCAGUAGCUGGUCUGAGAGGAUGAUCAGCCACACUGGGACUGAGACACGGACCAGACUCCUACGGGAGGCAGCAGUGGGGAAUAUUGGACAAUGGGCGCAAGCCUGAUCCAGCCAUGCCGCGUGAGUGAUGAAGGCCGUAGGGUUGUAAAGCUCUUUUGUCCGAGACGAUAAUGACGGUACCGGAAGAAUAAGCCCCGGCUAACUUCGUG
rnacentral:rRNA from 1 species